AUGGCCAACGAAGCUGGUGGUAGUGGUCACAAUGAGAUGGCCACCGAAGCUGGUGGUAGUGCCCAACCAAAUCAGGAAACCCAACCUAACAAUAACUCUGAAGGUCCACAAUCCUAUGAAGAGCCAAGGGAAAGGGGCCCUAAUCUGGGAAAAGGCCUGGAAAGGAUCACUCGACACCGGCAGGGCAAACUACCGCUUGUCAUUCCAGAAGGGAGGAUAAGGCCGGAGGCACCUCUUCUUGCUACAAAGUUUGCAAUUGAAUGCAACGUCACAGUCAGACACCAUAUGCCUGUGUUUAAGCGCUGGAAGGAUUACAAGGACCCAGAUGGACAUGUCCGAGAUGGGAUCUUCAGGAACUUUGUAGGCAAAGUUGGUAACAAGUUUCAGAUGGACGUAGAUGCUGUGCCAGUUAGGAAGGCUUGUACUGAAAUGCUGAAACGUGCGACUCGCCAACAACGAUAUAGGCUCAAGAAAGAGUUUUUUGACCCUCACCCACUCCAUUUGGUGACGAGAACUUCUCCUGUCCCCUUGAUGACUGAUGAGCAGUCGAAUGAGCUGGUGGAAAGCUGGAAGGAUCCCAAAAAGAUGGGGAUAUGUGAAAUUAACAAAAAUAAUCGAGCUCAAGUUAAGUUUCACCAAACUACUGGCGCGCGCAGCUAUCCGAUGCAUUGUGAUAAUCUGGGCGACAAAUACAAAGAUAAAGAACCCACUGCAUUGGAUUUGUUCAAGGAGUGUCACUACAGCAAGAAAAAGAAAAGCUACACUAAUGUCGUGCAAGCUGCAAUUACUGAGAUGGAAAACAAGGCCUCUCAACCUACAGAAGAUGGUCAGGAAUCAAACUCUGCAACCGAGGCUGUAGCUGAAGUGCUUGCUAAGCACACUAAGAAGCCAAGGUUUCUUCAGCAUGUGGGGAUCCAGCAUGUCCAUGCGAGAUCCAGUGCAGAAGUGGCAACGGAGAAGAGGGACAAUGUUGAGCUUCGGGCACGUGUUGACACCUUGACCAAGCUGUUGAAGGAGUCCGAAGAAGCAAGGACCAGGCAAGACGAGGAGCAUAGGAAGAGACAUGAGGAGAACAGGAAGAAGCAAGCUGCGAUGGAUGCAGAACUAGACUUUUUGCUAAGUCAGUUGCAACCAAGAUCAGCUCAAGGGUAA
rnacentral:rRNA from 1 species